rnacentral:rRNA from 1 species
UGCGUAGGCGGCCCGGAAAGUUGGGUGUGAAAGCCCUCGGCUCAACCGAGGAAUUGCGCCCAAAACUACCGGGCUCGAGGAAGACAGAGGUAAGCGGAACUUAAGGUGGAGCGGUGAAAUGCGUUGAUAUCUUAAGGAACACCAGGAGCGAAAGCGGCUUACUGGGUCUUUUCUGACGCUGAGGCACGAAAGCUAGGGGAGCGAACGGGAUUAGAUACCCCGGUAGUCCUAGCCGUAAACGAUGAGCACUGGGUUGGAGGGCCCCCCAUAGCCUUCUAGCCGUAGCGAAAGUGUUAAGUGCUCCGCCUGGGGAGUAUGGUCGCAAGGCUGAA